rnacentral:rRNA from 1 species
UACGGAGAGUGCAAGCAUUAAUCGGAAUUAUUGGGCGUAAAGGGCGCGUAGGCGGGGCGACAAGUCAGAUGUGAAAUUCCAGAGCUCAACUCUGGAGCUGCAUUUGAAACUGUCAUUCUAGAGGGUUGACGGAGAAAACGGAAUUCCACGUGUAGCGGUGAAAUGCGUAGAUAUGUGGAAGAACACCAGUGGCGAAAGCGGUUUUCUAGUUAAUACCUGACGCUGAGGCGCGAGAGCAAGGGGAGCAAACAGG